UCUUCUCUCUCUCCUUUCUCCCGCAUUUUCUCUCUCUCCUCGGCGCUCUCUGCAACUCCGGCCACCUCACGAUUCCGGCCACCUGGGGACGAACGAGUGGCACCGUUGGACUCCUCUACUCCUACCCAACCUCCCCACGGCGGUAACUCACGGCGGCUUGGCCGGAAAACGAAGCAUCGGGUCCUUGAAGUUUCACUGUAGCAAAUUGGUCAACGCCGGUUUCUCCCGAUUCCGGCCACCUCCGGCGACGAACCAUAAUCAUUUGGAAGCGGCUUGCGAUGUAGAUGAUGCUCCCCAAAUAUUUUGCAGCGAUUUGAAGCGUGGAGGAAGAAUUGAAGGGCAAUGUUGCGAGCUACGGCUAGAUGACGGGACUCGUUUGCGUGGUCGUCAACUAGUACUUUUGCAGGGGUUAUUAGUUGAGGUCGGGCGUACGUGGUUCGAGGCAUAGUUGACGAAUAGCUUCCGCACUUCUACGUUUGGCUCUGAUAUAUUGUGAGUUAAUAGUUUUGGGUAGUUCACUUUAGGGGUGACUCGGCCAAUUCUCGGUAGAGUUAUCUCUAAGGUGGGCCCCACAGGGCCACCUCGGAUUUCAGGGUGAAAUCCGGGGCGGGUCCUGUCAACAUAGACCUAGACAAAACUAAAAAUCAGACUCUGAAGAUCACAUAAAGAAACAUCAUAUAAAAACUAAAAGUCAGACUCUGAAGAAAAUCAAAACUAAAAGUCGGACACUGCAGAAAAAGAAAUGAUUUUAUGCCAGAGCCGGAGACCUUGGCACAGAAGAUCUUUGUUAUUGUUUAUAUGUUUGCGUGGGUUCUAUACUUGUAUGCAUACUUGUCUACAAUAGCAAGUGGGAUGUGAAAGAGAAUAAGCAAAACUAUCAUCUCCUAUUUCUAGUAGCCUGGGUUUAGGGAAUGAGCGCCUGGUUCCUGAUUGAUUUCUACCUUAACAUGACAAAUGACACUGGUAUUCUUAUUCCUGAAGAUGUAAAAAAAAAAAAAAACAAACAAACCAAGCACAUUAAAAAAAUGGAGCUUCAGGAGAGGGACUUUGCGAACAUAAUGUACAAUCAAAGAUCAACAGUACCAUUGCAGUAAGUAGAUUUAUUACCAGGGAAAAAAAGGGAGGGCAAAUACAUGAAAAAUCCAGAAGGGGCAGCAUUGAUGCAACAACUAUCCAAAAAUUCCAGUACUGAGCCACGCUUCAGCCAGUAAACAGCAAGCCCCACAACAAACUUUAAUUGCAGCAUUCUACAGCCUAAGAUUCACUAUGUCAGGUUUCACUCUUUAAUCAACAGUCGAUAUAAAUUCCUAGUCUGAAUUGCAAAGAUUUUAUGCAAAAAGAGAUUACAUAUGGCAGAUCAGCUAAUGAUCAUCUUGCUGAGGAACUCAGCUUUCUCAGGAAAAUAUUCCAUCAAUUCAUCCUUGGUCAC